CACCCUGACGAAUGGAUGCCAAAGUGCAUGCACUCUAUCAAAUAUAAGUAAAAGAAACUAUGGAUUUUACUCUUGCAAAGUCAUAAUUGAGAUUCCUGUACUAACUACGAUUUCCAGCAACAGAACAGAAAUAGCAUUGGAGAACUUUAUGGGAAAUACAACGGUUCAGUCAGAAACAACGAAAACCCAAGGGAUCAGCGUCGCGUCCACGGAGGAUAAUUUGUGGAUGUGGGUCCUCAUUGGUGUUUCGUCUUUUAUCCUGAUCCUGAUCAUGCUGCUGGUCGUCUUUCUUGCCCAGAAAAGGCUGUGCAACAGAAGCACAGGUACCGCUCUUCUAUUUUGGGUUGGAAAAUGUUGAUAGCUAUCAGACUAUGCGACACUAAAAAAAGGCAUGAGUUAAAGAGGUCAGUAAAGUCACACAAAAAAAAACUCAGUAGAC